UACGUAGGGGCCGAGCGUUGUCCGGAGUACUGGGCGUAAAGCGCGCGCAGGCGGCUCGUCAAGCAUGGCGUGAAAGCCCCCGGCUCAACCGGGGAGAGUCGUCGUGGACUGGCGGGCUUGAGGGCGGUAGGGGUUGGUGGAAUUCCCGGUGUAGUGGUGAAAUGCGUAGAGAUCGGGAGGAACACCCGUGGCGAAGGCGGCCAACUGGGCCGACCCUGACGCUGAGGCGCGAAGGCGUGGGGAGC
rnacentral:rRNA from 1 species